UAGGGAAUAUUGCACAAUGGGCGAAAGCCUGAUGCAGCAACGCCGCGUGCGCGAAGAAGGCCUUCGGGUUGUAAAGCGCUUUUCGGGGAGAUGAGCAAGGACAGUAUCCCCGGAAUAAGGCUCGGCUAACUACGUGCCAGCAGCCGCGGUAAAACGUAGGAGCCUAGCGUUAUCCGAAUUCACUGGGCGUAAAGCGCGUGCAGGCGGCUUGGUAAGUUGGAUGUGAAAUCUCUCGGCUCAACUGGGAGAGGACGUUCAAUACUGCCAGGCUAGAGGGCGGAAGAGGGAGGUGGAAUUCCCGGUGUAGUGGUGAAAUGCGUAGAUAUCGGGAGGAACACCAGUGGCGAAGGCGGCCUCCUAGGCCGCUCCUGACGCUCAGACGCGAAAGCUAGGGGAGCGAACGGG
rnacentral:rRNA from 1 species